UACGUAGGGGGCAAGCGUUGUCCGGAUUUAUUGGGCGUAAAGAGCGUGUAGGCGCCAGGUAGGUCUGCUGUGAAAACUCGAGGCUUAACCUCGAGCUGUCGGCGGAAACCAUCUGGCUAGAGUCCGGAAGAGGAGAAUGGAAUUCCCGGUGUAGCGGUGAAAUGCGCAGAUAAUCAGGAGGAACACCGGUGGCGAAGGCGGG
rnacentral:rRNA from 1 species